rnacentral:ncRNA from 1 species
GUAAGCCGUAUGCGGGAAAUCUGCACGUACGGUUUGACGAGGGGGAAUGAGGAUAAUGAUAUCCUCAUUUUCUACUCUAU